AGUUGUUGUAUGUGUGCAUCAACCUGAAGCACAAUUAGAGCAGAACAGUUAACAAGUUAUUAUUUUAUCUAAAGUAGGGCAGUAAUGAACAUGGAGUCGGUCCAGCAUUAAAAUCCCGUAGUAUCCUUCCAUAAAAAGUUACAACUUUUUCUGAGGGGUUUGGGGAAGAAACUGACUAGACUCGAAGCAAUCAAAGAUGAAAUCUAUCAAUAAUCCUGAAAAUGAAGAGCUUGCAUUGACUUCCAGGGUCAUAUCAAGAAAUGACAUCAAUAUUUUUUUUGUACAGAAGAACAAUCUCUUUGAAGUGACCAAAUGAUUUGAACUUUAAUGUAGCAACUUUAAGUAAAAGAUUCAGACAUUGAUCUAAUUAGUCAGAAGUAGUAAGAUUAUCCAAACAAGACAGCAUACCUCUUUAACCUAAAAAUUAAGAUUUGAAGAGAAAGGCUUGUCAGAAGGUAACAAUUCAUGAACCUAGUCAUGUGGUUAAUACAAAUUUAUUGAAACUGUGACCUUUUUAAGCUACAUGCUUAUCAGCAUUUUCCUUGUUUCCUAUGUAGGUUUUCCAUUUCUUUUUUAACAAUAAAAACUGCAGUGCUGAGUAGUUCUCAGAACUUGCAGCUGCAACCAUAGAAGAUCAAGAAACAACACAACCAACAAUUAUAAAUAUGAAAAAUAAUGAAAUAUGUGUGAGAUGCUAAUCAUAUAAGCUUAGGCAACAUCAGACACUUGUCCCAACUCCUAAG
rnacentral:misc_RNA from 1 species